UCUCUUAGUUGGCAGUAUAGGUGCCAUGAUCAUGAAGUAGGACUGUCUGGGUGAAGUUUAUCCAUUACACUCUGGCUGUUAUCGUCUCUAUGAUUUAUCCAAAUGCUGGAAAUUUGACUGCACAAUAUUGC
rnacentral:snRNA from 1 species